ACCCUUCCGCAACAUAAUAUUUUUCAUGUUAGCUUAGCCAAAAAGGGGAUGUUGCCUUUGUUAGAAAGUGUUUAAGGGUGCAACAUGGAGACAAAUAUGUUAGCUUAAGCUAUUAAAAGGUGAAAAUAAUAUUUUAACUUAAAAUUAAAGAAAAAAGUAAUUACUUGUAUUAAAAAUAAAAAUAGAAGUUAUGUAAUAAUAUAAACUAAAAAUAUAAAAAAUUAUAUAAAAUAUUAAAUAAUUUAAUAGGUGAAUGAUUUUAUUUUAAAUAAUAAAUAUAUGUUUAUUUAUUUAAAAAGUAAAAUAAAAUGUAAACAAAAAAAUAAAAUAUAAACUAAAUAUAUGUAUAUAUGUUUAUUUGAACAAGCGGGCGUGGUUCCCGGUGAAAUCAGACAAGCAGCGGGACUUUGUUUCACUAACACCCCGCCCCAUUUUUUCACUUCCUUUUCCACUCACACUCAGUCAUCUCUCUCAUUUUCCACACAGUCCUCUCUCGCUCUUCACCCCCACAUCUCGUCUCUCUCUCUCUCUCUUCACCCCCACAGUCGCCUCUCUCUCUUUUCACCGUGUCUCUCUCGUCGCUCUGGUCUCUCUGGUCUCUCAUCAGCACAUCUCUCUCAUCUCAGGUUUGGAUUUCAAGUUAGGGCAUGGUUUGAGGGCUCGAUGCUUUGAUACUCCUAACUAGGGGUUUCUCUCUUUAAAUCAGGGCUUCAUUUCUUUAUUUUCUUCCAUUUACAGGUCUUUCUUCUUUUAAACUACAUCUAAUCGUACUUUAUCUUUGAUUUCAGGUAUUUUCAGCGGAGGCUUUGCAUUUGGAAUUAGGGCUUCUUCGGUUGAUUUUAAGGAUUUCAUUUAAAGGAUUUAAAAUUAGGGUUUCAGUUUAAAGAUUUUGCUACAGGAUAAAAUUAACAAAAAAAUCAAUUCCGGGGAGGCUGCUGAUGAAAUGCUUUUGGAUAAAGAGCAUGGCCCGACUUGGCUCUUAGGGAGAUGCAAGAAGCCGCAAAAACUAUCAGCUGCUGCUCCAACGGAUACAUAUGUCAAAGAAUUGACAACAAAAAUUAAGGAAGGCCUUGCUGCUGAAGUCGAGGAAAAAGUGAAGAAAAUCCAAGAAGAGGUAGAUGAGCAGGUAAACAGGAAGGUGCAACAAAAUUUGGCAUCGGUCCUUAAGAAACUUGGUGAAGCAAACCCCAACAUCACAAUUGAUGUUACAGAGCUGUGUGCACAUGUGGCUAGUGACAAUGACGAUGGCACACCAAUGACUAAAGGCACCAGCUUCUAGUUUGCUAAUAGUAUGGUUGUUUAGACUUUGGUUCUUUGAAGUUAUUUUGACUAGCUAAUAGUAUGGGGUUAUAUAUCUAGACUUUUUGUUAUUAAACUGUUAGUUUGCUGGUAGUUGGUCGAUUCUGGAUAUUAUGUUGGUUUAGCUGUGGAUUUGAUGUUGGAGUAAAUUGGAUUUGAUGUUGGUUUUUGUAUGUUUACAAUGGUUUGUUGAAAUGAUGGACAAAUUUUGGGAA